UACGGAGGGUGCAAGCGUUGUUCGGAAUCAUUGGGCGUAAAGCGGAUGUAGGCGGUUAUGUAUGUCUGAUGUGAAAGCCUGGGGCUUAACCCCAGAAGUGCAUUGGAAACUGUAUGACUUGAGUCUCGGAGAGGAUGGUGGAAUUCCUGGUGUAGAGGUGAAAUUCGUAGAUAUCAGGAGGAACACCGGUGGCGAAGGCGACCAUCUGGACGAUGACUGACGCUGAGAUCCGAAAGCGUGGGGAGCAAACAGG
rnacentral:rRNA from 1 species